rnacentral:rRNA from 1 species
GCUGGCGGCGUGCCUAAUACAUGCAAGUCGAGCGGAGAUUUGGGAGCUUGCUCCCAAAUCUUAGCGGCGGACGGGUGAGUAACACGUGGGCAACCUGCCCUGCAGACUGGGAUAACUCCGGGAAACCGGAGCUAAUACCGGGUAAUACAUCGCACCGCAUGGUGCAAUGUUGAAAGUUGGCUUUCGAGCUAACACUGCAGGAUGGGCCCGCGGCGCAUUAGCUAGUUGGUAAGGUAAUGGCUUACCAAGGCGACGAUGCGUAGCCGACCUGAGAGGGUGAUCGGCCACACUGGGACUGAGACACGGCCCAGACUCCUACGGGAGGCAGCAGUAGGGAAUCUUCCGCAAUGGACGAAAGUCUGACGGAGCAACGCCGCGUGAGUGACGAAGGCCUUCGGGUCGUAAAGCUCUGUUGUUAGGGAAGAACAAGUACCGUUCGAAUAGGGCGGUACCUUGACGGUACCUAACCAGAAAGCCACGGCUAACUACGUGCCAGCAGCCGCGGUAAUAC